GAUGAACGCUAGCGGCAGGCCUAACACAUGCAAGUCGAGGGAGGAGCCUUCGGGCUUCGACCGGCGUACGGGUGCGUAACGCGUAUACAAUCUGCCUUUCACAUAGGGAUAGCCCGAAGAAAUUUGGAUUAAUACCUAAUGGUAUAUAGAUGUGGCAUCACCUUUAUAUUAAAGCUGAGGCGGUGAAAGAUGAGUAUGCGUUCUAUUAGCUAGUUGGAGAGGUAACGGCUCCCCAAGGCGACGAUAGAUAGGGGUUCUGAGAGGGAUAUCCCCCACACUGGUACUGAGAUACGGACCAGACUCCUACGGGAGGCAGCAGUGAGGAAUAUUGGACAAUGGUCGGAAGACUGAUCCAGCCACGCCGCGUGCAGGAAGACGGCCUUAUGGGUUGUAAACUGCUUUUGCAGGGGAAGAAUAAGGACUACGCGUAGUUUGAUGACGGUACUCUGCGAAUAAGCAUCGGCUAACUCCGUG
rnacentral:rRNA from 1 species